GAAGGGCUACUUUGUUGAUCUGCCAUUUUUCUCGGCUGCUUAAGUUUUUAAAAAGGAAGUAGAGAAACAGUCUGAGAUGUCCUUCACUUCUGUAUAUGUUUCACAUUUUGGUGAAAAAAAGGGACUGAAAAAGGCCCCAGGUCCACAUCUACCCCGCAUACCUACCCCAGACAUCCUUCAGCAGACGUUUCUCUUCAGCUGCAACCAUUUACACCUGAAUUGGUUGAAAAUUGUGACAAGGAUGAAUAUCGGUUUUUCUGCCCUCAUGCGGGUCAGUUUAUGUGCAAAUUGACCAACAUUGUGUUUGAGAUGGAAAGUGAAGGGGAAGUGAAGUACAAAAUAAUGGACUGGGACAGCUGGCUCCUAAACAAAUUACCCCAAAAGGAACCUGCAGGGCCUCUGUACAAUAUUGAUGGCCCAGAAGAUUCAAUCCGUCGUCUUCACUUCCCACAUUGUGAGAUCGGUAAAGGCAAAGCAAAACUGACUGUAGCACAUGUGACUAAUGAUGAUGUGGAGAUCAUUCA